rnacentral:rRNA from 1 species
UACGGGGGGGGCAAGCGUUGUUCGGAAUUACUGGGCGUAAAGGGCUCGUAGGCGGCCAACUAAGUCAGACGUGAAAUCCCUCGGCUUAACCGGGGAACUGCGUCUGAUACUGGAUGGCUUGAGUGUGGGAGAGGGAUGCGGAAUUCCAGGUGUAGCGGUGAAAUGCGUAGAUAUCAGGAGGAACACCGGUGGUGUAAACGGCUUUCUGGACCAUAACUGACGCUGAGGCACGAAAGCGUGGGUAGCAAACAGG